AUUGAACGCUGGCGGCAGGCCUAACACAUGCAAGUCGAGCGAGCGGCGGACGGGUGAGUAAUGUAUGGGGAUCUGCCCGAUAGAGGGGGAUAACUACUGGAAACGGUAGCUAAUCCCGCAUACUAUCGGAUGUGCCCAGAUGGGAUUAGCUAGUGGGUGGGGAAAAGGCUCACCUAGGCGACGAUCCCUAGCGGGUCUGAGAGGAUGACCAGCAACACGGGAACUGGGCCACGGUCCAGACUCGUAGGGGAGGCAGCAGUGGGGAGUAUGGCAAAAGGGGCGCAAGCCUGAUGCAGCCAUGCCGGGUGUAUGAAGAAGGCCUUCGGGUUGUAAAGUACUUUCAGCGGGGAGGCGUUACCCGCAGAAGAAGCACCGGCUAACUCCGGGCCAGCAGCCGCGGUAUAC
rnacentral:rRNA from 1 species